rnacentral:lncRNA from 1 species
AACUUUUCGAGGUGUUUAUGAUAAUAUUCCUUGAACCUAAAUACCCUAAACGUAAUUGGGCCGCAAAGCCUAUUGGAAUCGUACUAAAAUUCAGGAGUCUUUAGGGCCAUGGUCUUUAGUUAAACAAAAAAUAGAAGAAUAGGAAUAAGUAGAUAAUGAAAAAACAAAAAAAAAACACUGAUAAUAAAUAAAAUAAAAAAAUGAAAAAUGAAUUAAAAAAACAACAAUGAUGCUAAAAAUCAAGAAAACUAAACAAAAUAUGAAUUUAACACCAAAAUUCGGCCUUGCAUGGAUAACUUUAAUCAAACUUCUCGGUUGACACAAGAAUACACCCCAAGCUAACCAUGAAAAUAAUGAGACAAGUAUUGGCCGAAAAUUCCUUGUGGCUAAUACUUUGUGUCACCAUUUUUAUCUCUUGCCAAAAAAAAAGAAGAGAAAAGGAGUGUUCCUAGAUCAAAAAUUGGAAGAACACGGUUAUUUGUUUGGACAGAACAAAGAUGGAUCAGGGGCGAGGAGGUGCUGGUGAUUAUGGGAGAACGGUUUGAGUGUGUUUGGGGCUGCUUGGCAGCGUAGCCGCCGGCUGGAGAGGUAAGGGGUUUGGGGGGUGGUAGGGUUAGCUCGAGAGGAGAUGGAGAAGAAGGGGGG